UACAGAGGGGGCCAGCGUUAUUCGGAAUUAUUGGGCGUAAAGGGUGCGUAGGCGGCGCGGUAAGUCGGGUGUGAAAUCUCGGAGCUUAACUCCGAAACUGCAUUCGAUACUGCCGUGCUUGAGGACUGGAGAGGAGACUGGAAUUUACGGUGUAGCGGUGAAAUGCGUAGAUAUCGUAAGGAAGACCAGUGGCGAAGGCGGCUCACUGGUCCGGUACUGACGCUGAGGUGCGAAAGCGUGGGGAGCAAACAGG
rnacentral:rRNA from 1 species